GUGUCAGCCGCCGCGGUAAUACGUAGGGUGCGAGCGUUAAUCGGAAUUACUGGGCGUAAAGCGUGCGCAGGCGGUUCGUUAAGUCUGAUGUGAAAGCCCCGGGCUCAACCUGGGAAUGGCAUUGGAAACUGGCGAGCUGGAGUGCGGCAGAGGGGGGUGGAAUUCCGCGUGUAGCAGUGAAAUGCGUAGAGAUGCGGAGGAACACCGAUGGCGAAGGCAGCCCCCUGGGCCGACACUGACGCUCAGGCACGAAAGCGUGGGGAGCAAACAGGAUUAGAUACCCUCGUAGUCC
rnacentral:rRNA from 1 species